UAAAUAUUUCCAUAAACAUCUAAUUAAACCAACCAAUAGAAUAACAAUUAAACCGCAAGUCAAAAAUACUAUUUAAUGAAUAAAUAAAUAAUUCGACCAACAAAACCAAGAAUAACUAACAAUUCUAACCGGGUUCCAAUAACCAAAAACACCAAAAAUAAAACAAACGAGUUCCUAGAUCAUCCUCUCUUCCUUGCCAUGAUUCCACGAUCACACUUUAUCUUUACCUGCAUCAACAACACAAUGAGAUGCGUAAGUAUUAUCAUAAAUACUUAGUGAGGCGAUCCUCCCAUCUACGAGCUAUACACACAAGCAAAUAAAAAGGUAUAAUCACGAAUACAAUACAAACAAACCAGUCAUUGAACAAUUCACCCAAAACACAUUCACCACACCUACAUAUCAUCACACAAAACAAAUCACACAACCCUAUCGCUCAGAUAAGCUCAUGGUCACGCACUCACCUUAACAAAUUGAUUCUAAUAGCAAUUAAACCCAGGAAAGACUCUCCUUGCGUCUGAAACAGUCCAGAAACAUCCUACAAAAAGUCCACAACCAAAAGCAACCUUGAAGCAAACUGGACAGGAAAAACCAGAAACAAGCAGUCUCAAAGACGAAACCCUCAAAUACAAACUAACCGUUAACUAUUCAAUCGCUCCGGUGAAAUCCUAGAU
rnacentral:sRNA from 1 species